UGAAAAUCGUGAACAGGUUUAAAAAUUGACGCAAUAAAGUCAAAAAAUUACUUUCUUGAAAAUAACCAGGUCCACAAGACGGUUGUAACAAUUUUUUCGCAGAUCCAACUUGCAUGCACGCAGUCUUUCCAGCUGACCCAAGAGGGAAAGCGCUUCGAGAAAAUCAUUCAAAGGCCAGUGAAACCGGCAAGGGAGUUCAGAAGCUCACAAUACGAAUCAUGUUUGCUUUACCAUUCCGAACACGAUCAAAUAAAUGGAUGCAUUUUUCUGUGUCAAACCCCACUCGUCAGCUCGGUCGACCGCGAGCAGUGCCUCUAGGGCCGCAACAGCUCGAACACAGCAAAGCUACUCGAUCGUAAUGAAAUAUCGAUGUAUUCAUAAUUCAAUUCGUCUUCUGUGUUUUACGAAACGCAACGGCACAGUACGGAAUAACGACUAGAACGACACUCAAGCUUUAUUGGCUUAAUGUGGGAAGCAAAAAGGAAUCCUGUCACAAAAGAUCUUCAAUAGCAUCAGAACAUAUCCUCUUGCGAGCAACAUCUCUUUGCCGGCGUGUCCGUUGUUAGUCACAAACCGGUGCUCUCUAGCCUGUGAGGUAAGAAGAAGCUCUUCCGAAUGCCAAAAGGACACCGGUUCUGAUUUAUUCCAUCCGUGGCUGUACGUUUGCACAAUGUGCUCUGACAUUUGCUUAAUCUAUGAUGGUAACGCAGGCUAUUCGGUCAUUGGAUUUGGUAGGAUCGAAAAUUAAAUGAAGAUGAGCUAUGAAGUCCGGGACAUACAGUAUCCCCUCGGAGCGAGUGCAUUCCUAUUGUUGUUCGGGUUGAUGAAUCACUGCUCAACUCAAGCACGAGCUGCAGUGAAAUAAGACACAAAAGCAUUCGAUCCACAACCGUCCUUAUAAUGCUGCAAAGACGUU